GGGUUGUGAGGUUAAGCGACUAAGCGUACACGGUGGAUGCCCUGGCAGUCAGAGGCGAUGAAGGACGUGCUAAUCUGCGAUAAGCGUCGGUAAGGUGAUAUGAACCGUUAUAACCGGCGAUUUCCGAAUGGGGAAACCCAGUGUGAUUCGUCACACUAUCAUUAACUGAAUCCAUAGGUUAAUGAGGCGAACCGGGGGAACUGAAACAUCUAAGUACCCCGAGGAAAAGAAAUCAACCGAGAUUCCCCCAGUAGCGGCGAGCGAACGGGGAGGAGCCCAGAGCCUGAAUCAGUGUGUGUGUUAGUGGAAGCGUCUGGAAAGGCGCGCGAUACAGGGUGACAGCCCCGUACACAAAAAUGCACAUGCUGUGAGCUCGAUGAGUAGGGCGGGACACGUGGUAUCCUGUCUGAAUAUGGGGGGACCAUCCUCCAAGGCUAAAUACUCCUGACUGACCGAUAGUGAACCAGUACCGUGAGGGAAAGGCGAAAAGAACCCCGGCGAGGGGAGUGAAAAAGAACCUGAAACCGUGUACGUACAAGCAGUGGGAGCACAGAGCAAUCUGUGUGACUGCGUACCUUUUGUAUAAUGGGUCAGCGACUUAUAUUCUGUAGCAAGGUUAACCGAAUAGGGGAGCCGAAGGGAAACCGAGUCUUAACUGGGCGUUAAGUUGCAGGGUAUAGACCCGAAACCCGGUGAUCUAGCCAUGGGCAGGUUGAAGGUUGGGUAACACUAACUGGAGGACCGAACCGACUAAUGUUGAAAAAUUAGCGGAUGACUUGUGGCUGGGGGUGAAAGGCCAAUCAAACCGGGAGAUAGCUGGUUCUCCCCGAAAGCUAUUUAGGUAGCGCCUCGUGAAUUCAUCUCCGGGGGUAGAGCACUGUUUCGGCAAGGGGGUCAUCCCGACUUACCAACCCGAUGCAAACUGCGAAUACCGGAGAAUGUUAUCACGGGAGACACACGGCGGGUGCUAACGUCCGUCGUGAAGAGGGAAACAACCCAGACCGCCAGCUAAGGUCCCAAAGUCAUGGUUAAGUGGGAAACGAUGUGGGAAGGCCCAGACAGCCAGGAUGUUGGCUUAGAAGCAGCCAUCAUUUAAAGAAAGCGUAAUAGCUCACUGGUCGAGUCGGCCUGCGCGGAAGAUGUAACGGGGCUAAACCAUGCACCGAAGCUGCGGCAGCGACGCUGAUGCGUUGUUGGGUAGGGGAGCGUUCUGUAAGCCUGUGAAGGUGUGCUGUGAGGCAUGCUGG
rnacentral:rRNA from 1 species